GGCAGUUCUUGGGUGACACACCCCAGAAUCAGGCUCCCUUCUCUCUGGUUCCAGGUGCGUCACCCGAAAAACCUCA
rfam:Myotis lucifugus cont2.50043, whole genome shotgun sequence.